rnacentral:rRNA from 1 species
GACGAACGCUGGCGGCGUGCUUAACACAUGCAAGUCGAACGGAAAGGCCCUGCUUUUGUGGGGUGCUCGAGUGGCGAACGGGUGAGUAACACGUGAGUAACCUGCCCUUGACUUUGGGAUAACUUCAGGAAACUGGGGCUAAUACCGGAUAGGAGCUCCUGCUGCAUGGGGGGGGUUGGAAAGUUUCGGCGGUUGGGGCUGGACUCGCGGCUUAUCAGCUUGUUGGUGGGGUAGGGGCUUACCAAGGCUUUGACGGGUAGCCGGCCUGGGAGGGUGACCGGCCACAUUGGGACUGAGAGACGGCCCAGACUCCUACGGGAGGCAGCAGUGGGGAAUAUUGCACAAUGGGCGGAAGCCUGAUGCAGCAACGCCGCGUGCGGGAUGACGGCCUUCGGGUUGUAAACCGCUUUCGCCUGUGACGAAGCGUGAGUGACGGUAAUGGGUAAAGAAGCACCGGCUAACUACGUG